GGAUGAUCCUCGCUAGUUCUGGCGUUGGUUGUUGUAUUGAAUUUUGGAAAAUUGGAAAAGCAAUGCAUGUUGAGAUUGACCGAAGUGGAAGGAUACCCAUGUUGAAAUUCAGAGACAGGGAGUCGUAUGCAGGAAACAAGACGAAGGAGUAUGAUGAUAUCGCCAUGAAGUAUCUAGCUUAUGUUCUUUUCUUUCUGGCAGUUUGCUCUUCCAUAUAUUCUCUCAUGUAUGAGCAGCACAAAAGCUGGUACUCUUGGAUACUUUCCUCGCUCACAAGCUGCGUGUACAUGUUUGGUUUUAUCAUGAUGUGUCCCCAGUUGUUCAUCAACUACAAACUGAAGUCUGUUGCUCAUAUGCCCUGGAGACAAAUGUCCUACAAGUUUCUGAACACUAUCAUAGAUGAUCUCUUCGCAUUCGUUAUCAAAAUGCCCAUGUUACAUCGCCUAUCUGUCUUCCGAGAUGAUGUUAUCUUUCUGAUAUACCUGUACCAGAGGUGGAAAUAUCCAGUUGACAAGAAGCGGGUGAAUGAAUUUGGC
rnacentral:misc_RNA from 1 species